UACGUAGGUGGCAAGCGUUAUCCGGAUUUAUUGGGCGUAAAGGGAACGCAGGCGGUCUUUUAAGUCUGAUGUGAAAGCCUUCGGCUUAACCGGAGUAGUGCAUUGGAAACUGGGAGACUUGAGUGCAGAAGAGGAGAGUGGAACUCCAGGUGUAGCGGUGAAAUGCGUAGAUAUAUGGAAGAACACCAGUGGCGAAAGCGGCUCUCUGGUCUGUAACUGACGCUGAGGUUCGAAAGCGUGGGUAGCAAACAGG
rnacentral:rRNA from 1 species